UACGGAGGAUCCAAGCGUUAUCUGGAUUUAUUGGGUUUAAAGGGUGCGUAGGCGGCUUAUUAAGUCAGGGGUGAAAGACGGUGGCUCAACCAUCGCAGUGCCUUUGAUACUGAUGAGCUUGAAUACACUAGAGGUAGGCGGAAUGUGACAAGUAGCGGUGAAAUGCAUAGAUAUGUCACAGAACACCGAUUGCGAAGGCAGCUUACUAUGGUGUGAUUGACGCUGAGGCACGAAAGCGUGGGGAUCAAACAGG
rnacentral:rRNA from 1 species